rnacentral:rRNA from 1 species
AACGAACGCUGGCGGCAGGCCUAACACAUGCAAGUCGAGCGAGGACUUCGGUUCUAGCGGCGGACGGGUGAGUAACGCGUGGGAAUGUGCCCUUCUCUACGGAAUAGCCCUGGGAAACUGGGAGUAAUACCGUAUACGCCCUAUUGGGGAAAGAUUUAUCGGAGAAGGAUCAGCCCGCGUUGGAUUAGGUAGUUGGUGGGGUAAUGGCCUACCAAGCCGACGAUCCAUAGCUGGUUUGAGAGGAUGAUCAGCCACACUGGGACUGAGACACGGCCCAGACUCCUACGGGAGGCGGCAGUGGGGAAUCUUAGACAAUGGGGGCAACCCUGAUCUAGCCAUGCCGCGUGAGUGAUGAAGGCCUUAGGGUUGUAAAGCUCUUUCAGCUGGGAAGAUAAUGACGGUACCAGCAGAAGAAGCCCCGGCUAACUCCGUG